rnacentral:rRNA from 1 species
GAUGAACGCUGGCUACAGGCUUAACACAUGCAAGUCGUGGGGAAACGGCAUUAUGUGCUUGCACAUUCUGGACGUCGACCGGCGCACGGGUGAGUAUCGCGUAUCCAACCUGCCCCUUACUUGGGGAUACCCCGUUGAAAGACGGCCUAAUACCCGAUGUGUUUCAUUGACGGCAUCCGAUAUGAAACAAAGGUUUUUCCGGUAAGGGAUGGGGAUGCGUCUGAUUAGCUUGUUGGCGGGGCAACGGCCCACCAAGGCGACGAUCAGUAGGGGUUCUGAGAGGAAGGUCCCCCACAUUGGAACUGAGACACGGUCCAA